UGGCAACAUUUUGUCAACAGACGUUAGUAUACUCAUGUGUAAACAACUGGGGAAAAUAACCUACCUGGUUUUGUAGCUGAUGGUCAGUAGUAUCGAUUUUUCGCAGUGAACUUGCCACUUUACUCGCCUAACGCAACAGCACCAACAUGAACCAGAGGAAAAUGACUUCUGAGGACACAUUCACGACCGUGAUAACGUCGGGUUGGUUGGUCAUUGAAAUACUAUUGGCGAUGUAAAAAGAACGGGCAAUAAAUUCCACAAAAAAGUGAGCUAUCGAUAUUAAUAAGAUGAGUCCGUAUUGUCCACAUCUUCUCGAAUCCCUUCAUAAAAUAAAGAAGUCAGCCAGACAACGGAGCAAUACAGAACCAGUACACUGAUUGGUACAAUCUUGGAGAAAAAUGCAGUAACUGUGACGAACUUCCUGUACUUGGAUUCAUUUGAGAUGUUUGGAUUACUUAAUUGUGAACAAUAUUCCCUACCGUUAGGAUGGGAAAGAAUCCGAUAAGUAACGCCCUGCGUAAUUUUGUGUAAUCGAUUUUACAGUAAGCAAAAUCAAAUGUUUCCACAACAUUCCAUAAACGUAGCCAUCGGUUCUGAGCAACGUAGAAAAAAGCUGGAUAAACAAUGGCUAUAAAACAAAAAUUAUUAGCAGCAUCUAUUCUGGCAUUCCAGCUUAACGUUGUGGACGUAGAGAUAUUCAACGCCUUGUUCGUGUCGGUAAAUGGAAACGAAAUUUUCCAGAAUUUGAUUACGAUAAAAUCAACGCUCGCCCAUUGAAAAAGCUCGAUUCCAAAAAUGCGCAUCCAGAAAAAGAUGGGCUUGAAACACCAUGUUACAUUACGGUUAGGUGCUGAAACAGCCGGAUCCACUUUGUUCUUCACCAUGGCUCAAAACAAGACUAAUCUUAGCCUUGGCUUCAUGAAGACUUUUUUGUUAAGUCAUCGGUCUCGGGCCUUUGGUUUCCGAGAUAACCUGUCGUGAAAGACAUUUCUGGAUGCUAAGAAGAAGAAUCAUAAUAGAAUGAUGAGGAUAUGUUUCACUACAACCGGUUGUCAUGGAAAUUUCCUUACCUGGUCUACUCUUUUUGAUCUAGCUCCUCCCUCUCGUCCCCGCGCGUGUUGACAUUUAAAAAGGUUGAAGGGGCUUGGAAUAAUCGAAAUCGGGUUUCGGAACUGAAGCAAGAAUAUGCAAUAUAUCGUUAUUGAAAGAAAAUUAAGCUACGAUGAAACUAGAAAAGUAAUGUAUCAAGUUUUGUAUUUCAUACCUUAUCGGAUGAUUCUACACGUUCAUUUAUUUGUUC